AGAACGAACGCUGGCGGCAUGCCUAACACAUGCAAGUCGAACGAGACCUUCGGGUCUAGUGGCGCACGGGUGCGUAACGCGUGGGAAUCUGCCCUUAGGUACGGAAUAACAGUGAGAAAUUACUGCUAAUACCGUAUGAUGUCGCGAGACCAAAGAUUUAUCGCCUAGGGAUGAGCCCGCGUAGGAUUAGCUAGUUGGUGGGGUAAAAGCCUACCAAGGCUACGAUCCUUAGCUGGUCUGAGAGGAUGAUCAGCCACACUGGGACUGAGACACGGCCCAGACUCCUACGGGAGGCAGCAGUGGGGAAUAUUGGACAAUGGGCGAAAGCCUGAUCCAGCAAUGCCGCGUGAGUGAAGAAGGCCUUCGGGUUGUAAAGCUCUUUUACCCGGGAAGAUAAUGACUGUACCGGGAGAAUAACGCCCGGCUAACUCCGUGCCAGCAGCCGC
rnacentral:rRNA from 1 species